ACUUACUGUCACUUAUAAAAUAUUCUAUUUGACAUUACUAUUUGAGACAUUCUACUGUCUAAGAAAUCGAAAAGGUCAGUAUUUCAUAAGAUUCAUUGAGGUUGCAGAAUAUUCUGUCUUUUUAUUUCAGAAAAGCGUAAAAGUCGCUAAUUAUAAGGAAAAAUGCAAUUUUAUGUUUCAAUAACAUUUUCACUCAUCACUAGAUGGCAUAAGUGGUAAUUUUCAGGGAGAGCGUAAAAAUAAAUUUUAAGAGCAUACAUGUACAUGUGUACAUUUAUUUAUAUGUAUGUGCAUAGCAUACACGCAUAUGUAAUAAUUUACGAUUUUUAUAAAUUAAAAUAGUGCCAUCGCAAAGCAGAUGAGACUCUUCAACAGAAACAAAUUUUUGUUUACACGCAUUUUCCUACUUUUUAUAUAAAAACAAUUAUUUUAUUACUUAAUUAUGUAUUGAAAACAAGUAAUUAAAACGAGUAUAUAAAUGUAUAUUUAAUCUGAUGUAACAUAUAAAGUUAGUAUAAAGUAACAUAUAAAAACAUGUAUACAAAUUUUUCAAUGAUAAAACUGGAAUGAUCCCUAUAUUACAUAAUUAACUUCAUAAUUACAUUGUCAUGCUUCCUUUUAUUCCUAAAAUACAAAAUAUUACAAAAGUAAUAUAAAGAUCUCAAAUCUCUUGUAAUAACCUGCCCUGUA